GGAAGAACGUCCUGGUGCCAGGGAGGCUCACAACCCUGGGCCCUUCCUGCCCACAGGCUCCCUGUUCUCACCUCCGGGGCAGCCCGACAGCAGCACCCUUGUGGCUGUGCCCGUCUUUCUGCUGCUGACCAGCCUGACCUACCUACCUCGCCUUCAAGCUUUCGCCCAGAAAGUCACGGUUGAAUCGGCAGCACAUUUCACUGGAAUCCUCCAUUCGAUGAACUCUAUAAAUACAUCAAGCUUUGAUAAGAUCAUGAGAACACUCAGGUGUUUACUAUGAACCCAUCUGUUUCUGGGACUUUUUCCAAUGGGAUAUUUCUAAGCCUUACCGUGACCUUUCAUGCUCCUUGGUCUGUUUCUGUCUUCCUUAUAUCAAGGUCCAUUUUGUUUAUUUGCAUUUUUAUUUAGAAAUUACCCAUUUCCUCUAGGCUUCCAGUGUUCUCUUAUUUGAUUUUUAGAAUUUUUAAAAAUGUUAUUUGAAGUAAAAUUGGCAACGCAGGGUUUAAACUCAGGACCCUCAGAUCAAGACCUUAGCUGAGAUCAAGAGUCCGACGCUUAACCUGUUGAGCCACCCAGGCGCCCCACUCUUAUUGGACUUUGAAUCUCUAUUCUGUUUCUAUUUUUUCCAGAAUCAUCACAGUUAAUGAACCAAGAUUGAUAACUUAUUACUAACUGAAGUUCAGAUUGUGUCCGGCUUCCCUCUGUUCUGCCUUUGCUGCUCCAGGGUCCCAUGUGGGGCAGCACAUGACAGGUGGUCAUCACGUUUCUUCAGGCUAUUCUUGGCUCUGACAGUUUCUGAGAUGUGCCUUGUUUCAGUGACCUUGACGGUGUUGAGGAGGAAAGGUCAGAUGUUUUGUGCAUUUAGCUCCACCUCUGUGAUGGGUGGCUGAGUGUCUCCAUCAAGCAUUUGGAAUUCUUGUGCAUUGUUUUCUACUCAUUACAAAAAAAAAAAAGUCUAUGUAAUAAGUUAUUUUUACCACCGUGAACCCUGGGUGGUUAUUAUAGGCCUUGGUUGUAUUCCAGCAGUAGGCUGUGUAGUUGCUCAGUUUAGUCCUGCUGUGGCUCUUCGUGUUGUCUCCUAUUUCCCUUGACAUAA
rnacentral:lncRNA from 1 species